rnacentral:rRNA from 1 species
AGUAGGGGCAACUCUGCGAGUACAGCGGCGCACGGGUGAGUAACACGUAGGUAACCUGCCUUCGAGACUGGAAUAACCUGUCGAAAGACGGGCUAAUACCGGAUAAGACCACGGGAGUUGCGGCUCCAGGGGUAAAAGGUGGCCUCUGCUUGCAAGCUACCACUCGGAGAUGGGCCUGCGCGCCAUUAGCUUGUUGGCGGGGUAACGGCCCACCAAGGCAAAGAUGGUUAGCUGGUCUGAGAGGAUGGCCAGCCACACUGGGACUGAGACACGGCCCAGACUCCUACGGGAGGCAGCAGUGGGGAAUAUUGCGCAAUGGGCGAAAGCCUGACGCAGCGACGCCGCGUGGGUGAUGAAGGCCUUCGGG